CAGGACUUCCCCGGGCCCACGAGCGACCCGGGAGCCCAGGAAAGUUUAAGCAGAAGCAGAGAGGGCGCGCGUUCCCCUGGCGGCGUCGAGAGAGCUUCCGGGUGUUUCCCGGCGCAAACUGAGCGGCUCCUCAGUUAGCGAGAAAUCUGAUGGAUGAUACUUUGGCAUCAUGUGACCCUCUUAUUUCCCAACUCCCUUUAACUCAAUAGCUUCAAUAUCUGCUGAUGAUUCUAGGGCUCAGGCCAUUUGACAAUUUUCAGCAUGAGAGAAUAGGAUCCAAGCAGAAAAGAGGAGUGUUACUGAACUGAGGACAGACAUUGGAAUUUAAAGAUACCAAUUUGCUGGAUACUUGAGCAAAAUCCUGAAAUGGAGGUAAUAUUAGUGAAGUGAGUCCAAAAGUCUCUGUGAAAUUUUCCCUUGAGGCAUUGCCAUCUCUAAAACUACACCAAAUGAGAUUUCAAGAACACCAGAAGAAAAGAGCAGGUGGAAGACUAACAAUCUAGAAAAGAUUUUAGCAAUAACACAACGCUUGAUCAUCAAGGUUGGAGUUCAAGCCCAAGAAGAUUUUCCUUUCCCAAACUGCAACUUCUCCACUAAUCCUGACAUGUACAAAAACUAAUACAACAUUUGUAACAAGGGUCUGGAACCCUUGGAGAGAUAACAGAAUAAAAUGGAAAGGCUAAGAGGAAUAUAUAAAAUGCAGAAAACAUACAGAAAACACUCAUGAAAAAAAAGAAAAAAACCCUGGUGAUGCUGAAAUUCAACAUGAGACAGGAGCAAUAACUCUUUAUCAAAACUUACCUCCAAGGGGUAAAUAAGGGAGUGUGCAGUAGCACCAGCCAAAGAAGCAGAAGCAAAUUGCUCAAAAGCUUUUAAAGUGACUCCUCCAGAAGAAAGAAACGUCUUAUACUGUAUUAAUAAGAGUUCAAAGGAGAUGGAGAGGACAUGAAGUCGACAAUGUACUGGAAGAACCAACCUUGAAAAGAAGAAAUACCUCAUUCCUUGGGACUAUGGAAAUGAAGUGAUCAGGAAUGUAAAUAAAGGAGAGCCAGAAACCCAAAGGAACUUCUAUUUACUCGUUGACAUACAAGGCAUGUACAGCUACUGGAAGAUGGGAGCAAGGAAUGACAGGGGCUGUGGCUGGGACAAAUGAGGUAGAAACCAACGAAGAGGAAGAUAUGGAAUAUAAAAAAGGUGAAACUAACCCAAGAGUCUAAUGAAAAACAAUUCCAGAGUGAAGCUGUGCACAGGGUUUACAAUCUAAAUCAGAAGAGGAAGUCAGUGGGCCGCGACUAGAAUGUCUUCAAGAAGAAAAAAGAAAUGUAGUCUGUGCAGAAGAUAUAAUGACUAUAGAAAUGGAUGGUAUCAGCUAUAUGGCAGUGAAUAGAUAAUGUCUUUUAAAUUGAAAAGUCAAGAAAUGGCACCAACAGCACAUAAUUGAAAGUUGAAAAAGAAAAGAAAGUUGAGAGCAAGUCUGAAGGGGUUGAUAAAGACAGCUAUCAGCAAGACUUCAAGCAGAAGAGAAAUUCUGGUUCUCAACACUGACUGCACGACCAACGGGUGGAGAAGAACACAGUACCAGUUAAUACCAAAGAACAAAAGUUUCCUUUAUCUCCACAGCAUAUCUAUAGUAUGGGAAAGCCAUUACUUUAUUUACAAAGAUCAACUUAACUAAAGCAAAUAUAAGGUGACACAACAUUAAAGGCAUUUAAACUAAUAAGUGCUAAAAUUUUAUCUGUGCAUUUAUGUGUGUGUGCUUUUGAAAAAAAAAAAAAAAAGAUCUGAAUGCUAUAUUGAAGCCCCCACUGGAUAAGUUUAUUUUGUAGUUUAUUGAGUGUAUUAAACAAAGGACAACUAAAUUUUGGAGGACACCAAAGAUAACAAUGUUAGUUUUAGAAUUGUUAAUAUUAUGCCAUUUUUUUCUGACAUUUAUUUUACAAAGAUUGAUUACCCGUUGAGGUCAUUCUUGGUCAUUCUUGGAAGAAAAACUGUGUUAUCACACAAUCACCUACUCACCAUGCCCUCAUUUUUUUAAAAUGAUGAGGGCAAAGGGUCAGAAGGUGAUUUUGUUUUAGAGCACUUUCAAUUUCAGAAAAACUACUCCUGUGGUGCCCAAAUCUUUCAAUGCUAUUAAAAUGAAUACUUUAAAAGCAUCAGCACCCAUGAAUCUUUAUUAAGCCUGAACACAAUCCCUGUCUUCCUAAAUCUCAAUAAUCUCAAUUCUACCCAGAUGUCCAAGCUAGAAAUCUGGGAGCCAUUCUUGCCCUCUCCCUCUACCUUAUUCUCCUCAUAUCUGAUCAUCCCCUACAAACUCCUAUUGUCUAUAAUUUUAAAAUACAGCAUGAACUUUUUCAUGCUCUCUAGUUAUAGAUAUUCCAAGUCACCACUGUCUUUCAUUUGGGCUGCUACAAUAAUAAUGUUUAAAGUAAAAACAGCAACAGAUACUUCAUAAUAUUUACUUUGGGUCAGGCACUGCUUUAAGUACUUUACAUGUUAGCUCAUUUAUUCCUCUCAACAACCCUGUUAAGGUUUUUUAGUACAUUUCUGCACUAAGACAAGGAAACUGAUGCACAGAGGAGUUCGGUGACUUGUUCAAAUUCACACAACUAAGGAGGUGGAGAAGCCAGCAAUCACCUCCUUAUGCUCCCUCUGCAUUCACACCCAUCAUCCUCUGAUCUGAUAUCCACUCAGCAGCCAGUGUGAUUCUUUAAAGCAAGUAUCCUUUACCCAGACCCAGAAACUCUCUUAAGGUGAGAACAGAAAACAGAUUUAUUCUUUUUCCCCCAAAACCUGAUAAAAUCAGCUCUGCAGAAAGGCUCUUUCCUAAUGCCAAAAAGUCCCUUGACUUUUUUGGUACUCUCAGUUAAUCAAAAUUCUUCCCGUUAAUCACAAAGUAGUUCCAGUUCAAUAAUAAAAAU